AGAAGUUCUGGAAAAUUAGCCGUAGCCGUUCCUUAAUUAUAGACAUCUUGUAGAGAUACAGCAUAUCUAAAAAUCUAUAAUCAUUCGUAUAGACACUUGUAGUGAGCAUGUCUCAAAUCUUGUUAAAAUGAUAUCAUAAAUGGUGCACUACAGUUUGGAGAAAUUAACUGUAGCCAUUAAUUAAUUAAAGGCAUUAAUUAGAGAUGUUAUUUCCAGGGAAAUAAACUGUAACCAUUCCAUAAUUAAAACCAUUUUGUAGAAAUACGGUACAUAAAAAUGAAUAAUCAUAUAGCUUAGUGGUUUUGACAUACACUUAUACUGGUCUCAAAUUAAAAGUCAAAAUUUUGUCAUAAUAAUAUGAUGCGCAAUUUUGGAGAAAUUAACUGUAACCAUUACAAUUAAUGAAAGACAUUAAUUAGAGAACUUAAUUCUGUAGAAAUUAACUGUAACCAUUCUUAUAUUAAAG